CAGCAGCCACGGGAAUACGAAGGGGGCUAGCGUUGUUCGGAAUUACUGGGCGUAAAGGGCGCGUAGGCGGCCAUUCAAGUUAGAUGUGAAAGCCCUGGGCUCAACCUAGGAAUUGCAUUUGAUACUGUUUGGCUUGAGUUCGGGAGAGGUGAGUGGAAUUCCCAGUGUAGAGGUGAAAUUCGUAGAUAUUGGGAAGAACACCAGUGGCGAAGGCGGCUCACUGGACCGACACUGACGCUGAGGCGCGAAAGCGUGGGGAGCAAACAGGAUUAGAUACCCCUGUAGUCCCUGUCUCUUAUAC
rnacentral:rRNA from 1 species